rnacentral:ncRNA from 1 species
AGCUCCGGUGCCGUCGGCGCCUUCCCCUAUGAGUACUCGGGGGAAAAGAACCUCACCGAGCCCCACCUUUCCGCCCGAGGCAGUCGAUCACUCGGGCGGGUGAACAUCCGCCGCUCAACUGGCGUUUCGAGCCCUCGGCACCUCUACGCUCAGCGCAACGCAACCCGAAAAAAACUUCGGCCCCCGCCGGGAUUGCCGUCCCAGUGCGAGGGCCUGACCACCAAGGAAGAAGCACCUUCCCG